rnacentral:lncRNA from 1 species
UUACUGUCUGUGACUGCACUACAAUGGGAGAGUUGAGUAGUUGCAACAGAGACAAUGUAACCUGUAAAGCCUUAAAUAUUUACUUCUGAACCUUUACAGAAAAUGUUUGUUGAUCCCUGAUCUAAAGCCAAGCAGUUCUCUCGACCUAGAUACUGCUUAUUCUUUGAUAAUUUCCCAUUCCCAUCUUGUUAACCAAUAAGGCCAGUUCAUUGAGACUAUGAAGAUAGCUUCCAACCCAUUCAAACUAUUUGCUUUUUCUUGAAUUUCCCUGCCUUCUCUUUCUCACCUUCCUAGAAUGCUAUUUCCUUGUGUUUUGCUUUUUAGCAGAAGAGAUGAAAUAGUAUUAAAGACUGUAAGAGUAGUCUCAUGAUGUCUUUUAAUUUAAUAUCUAGGCCCUAAUACACAACUCUUUGAAUAUUGCUACUAUCUUUCAGCAUGACUUUCCAAUACCAUUAAGAUUAAGCCUUUCUGUUCUUCAGUUUCUCUAACUCAAGUCUUCUAAGCUCCACAGCUUCCAACAUCUUUAAUUACCAGAUCUUCCCAAUAUUAUAACAUCCGUGCAUUCCAGUCCCUGUCCUGCAGCAUCUCCAAUGCCCUUGUUUUCUAAACUUCCCAGUAUUCAAGUCAUUAAAAAUUUAGGUCUUCUAAUAUCUCCAACAACCCAUCUUCAAAGUCCAGGUCUUGUCUUUCAGAAUCCAGAGUUCUAAAUUACAAGUCUUCCAUGGUCCUAAUCCUCCAAUGUCUCCUAUAUACAGGUCUUCUAGAGGCUAUGUAUUUCAUAGUGUUUAAGUCUAGAUUCUUCAAUGUCUUCCAGCACUUACAUCAUUCAGUUUUUACAUUUUUAAAUGUCUCCUACUUUCUAGUUUUACAGUGUAUUUUUAUCGCCAAUUCCUCCAAUGCCCAAGUCUUUAAAUACCUGCAAGAACUUUCAGGUACAUCAAUAUCCUCAAUGUCUGAAUGAAUAGACCUCUUAAUAUCCUGGUCUCAUAUUGUCCAGGCUGCCAGUAUUCUUGACAUCCAGCAUCUUUAAAAUUUAAUUCUUCCAAACUGUCUUUUUGACAUAAAUAUGUCAAUAUCCAUGCUUACCAAUGUCUCCCAAUAUCCAGGGCUUCUCAUUUUAGGAUUUAUAAAUGUCUACAUCUGCUGUUGUUUAUAUCUGCCAGUAUUUAGGAGUUCCAAGGUACAGGACUUACAAUAUCUCUAAUUUCCAGAGAUUUCAGUGUCUAUGACUUCCAAUAUUCAAUAUCCCAAUGUUCAGGGCCUCCAGAAAUAUCAAUGUCCAGAGUAACCAAUGUCUUCAAAAUCCAAGGCUUGCAAUGUCUCCAAUAUCCUGUGCUUACAAUGUUUCCAAUGUCCAGGGUUUCCGAUGGCACCUGUGUCAAGGUCUUCCAACAACUCCGGGUCUUCCAGCGACUUCAAGUCUUCCAAUAAUCUCAAGGUCUUCCAGAUAAUCCUGAGCUUCCAGAAAAUCCACAUCUUCCAGACAAUCCAUGUCUUCCGGACAAUCCAUGUCUUCCAAGAAGCUCCAAGUCUUCCAGUAAAUCAAGUCUUCCAGCAAAUCCAGUCUUCCAGCAAUUACUGGUCUUCCACCAAAUCCAGAUCUUCCAGGAAAAUCCACGUCUUCCAGGAAAUCCAUGUCUUCCAAUAAUUUCAAGGUCUUCCAUCAAAUACAGAUCUUCCAGCUAAUCCAUGUCUUCCAGAAAAAUCUGUGUCUUCCACCAAAUCCAAGUCUUCCAGUAAAUCUAGUUCUUCCAGAAAAAUCUAGAUCUUCCAGUCAAUCAGUGUCUUCCAGAAAGAAAUCCAGGUCUUCCAGUCAAUCAGUGUCUUCCAGAAAGAAAUCCAGGUCUUCCAGUCAGUCAGUGUCUUCCAGAAAAAUCUACGUCUUCCACCAAAUCCAGGUCUUCCAGUCAAUCCACAUCUUCCGGAAAAAAUCCAGGUCUUCCAGCCAAUAUAUGUCUUCCUGAAGAUCCACGUCUUCCAGAAAAUCCAUGUCUUCCAGAAAAUCCAUGUCUUCCAGUAACCUCCCAGUCUUCCAGAAAAUCCACGUCUUCCCAACAAUCCAAGUCUUCCGGAUAAUUUGGGUCUUCCUGAAAAUCUACGUCUUCCAAAAAAGCCAUGUCUUCCAGAAAAUCCACAUCUUCCAAUGGCCUCCAGGUCUUCCAGACUAUCCAUGUCUUCCAGAAAAUCCUUGUCUUCCCUUAAAUCUAUAGCUUCCAAAAAAUCCGGGUCUUCCAGGAAAUCCGUGUCUUCCAGCAAGUCCACGUCUUCCAACAAAGCCAUGUCUUCCAGACUAUCCAUGUCUUCCAGAAAAUCCUUGUCUUCCCUCAAAUCCAUAGCUUCCGAAAAAUCCAGGUCUUCCAGGAAAUCCGUGUCUUCCAGCAAAUCCACGUCUUCCAACAAAGCCAUGUCUUCCAUCAAAUUAAUGUCUUCCAGCCUACUUGUGUCUUCCAACAAAGGUCUUCCAGCAUCUCCAGGGCUUCCAGCAUCUGCUCGUCUUCCAACAUCUCCACGUCUUCCAGCAUCUCUGUGUCUUCCAGCAUCUUCAUGUCUUCCAACAACUACCCAGUCUUCCAUCAACUGGCUCAAUAUCCAUGUCUUCCAACGUCUCCAGUGUGCUGAUCUUCUGACAUUCAGGUCUUCCAGUGUCUGCAAUA